AUUGAACGCUGGCGGCAUGCUUUACACAUGCAAGUCGAACGGUAACAGGCCGCAAGGUGCUGACGAGUGGCGAACGGGUGAGUAAUGCAUCGGAACGUGCCCAGUCGGGGGGGAUAACGCAGCGAAAGCUGCGCUAAUACCGCAUACGAUCUAUGGAUGAAAGCGGGGGACCGAAAGGCCUCGCGCGAUUGGAGCGGCCGAUGUCAGAUUAGGUAGUUGGUGGGGUAAAGGCUCACCAAGCCAACGAUCUGUAGCUGGUCUGAGAGGACGACCAGCCAGACUGGGACUGAGACACGGCCCAGACUCCUACGGGAGGCAGAAGUGGGGAAUUUUGGACAAUGGGCGCAAGCCUGAUCCAGCAAAGCCGCGGGCAGGAAGAAGGCCUUCGGGUUGUAAACUGCUUUUGUACGGAACGAAACGGCUCUGGUUAAUACCUGGGGCUAAUGACGGUACCGUAAGAAUAAGCACCGGCUAACUGCGCGCCAGCCGCCGCCGUAAAAC
rnacentral:rRNA from 1 species